rnacentral:rRNA from 1 species
CCUACGGGGGGCUGCAGUGGGGAAUAUUGGACAAUGGGCGAAAGCCUGAUCCGGCCAUGCCGCGUGUGUGAAGAAGGCCUUCGGGUUGUAAAGCACUUUCAGUGGGGAAGAAAGCCUUGGGGCUAAUACCCUCGAGGAAGGACAUCACCCACAGAAGAAGCACCGGCUAACUCCGUGCCAGCAGCCGCGGUAAUACGGAGGGUGCGAGCGUUAAUCGGAAUUACUGGGCGUAAAGCGCGCGUAGGCGGUCUGAUAAGCCGGUUGUGAAAGCCCCGGGCUCAACCUGGGAACGGCAUCCGGAACUGUCAGGCUAGAGUGCAGGAGAGGAAGGUAGAAUUCCCGGUGUAGCGGUGAAAUGCGUAGAGAUCGGGAGGAAUACCAGUGGCGAAGGCGGCCUUCUGGACUGACACUGACGCUGAGGUGCGAAAGCGUGGGUAGCAAACAGGAUUAGAUACCCUAGUAGUC